rnacentral:piRNA from 1 species
UGACCUGUGACUUCCAGUCUGAAGACAAGA